UCAAGCUAGAUUGAAAUAACCAAAAUUUUAGUUGACGUUCAAAGUCUGAUUUUGUUUGUUCCAAGGUUCACAAAUAAUUGUUUCUAGAUUGAGCUUUCGUUUCAAAUAAAUUAUUUUUUUAAGUGCUUUUUACCUAAACGAUUUGGUUCUUACAAAGUAGUUCUUGCUUUGAUUCAAACCAAGAUAACUCAUUCGUUUUUACCAAAAAUUAGGUUGAUGAAAAAAGUUCUUCGUUGACAAAAACAAUCUGAAACUUUGGUUGAAAUAAACCAAUACUUUCGGAGGAAGUAACCUAAAAAUUUGGUUGGGUGAAUUCCAAUCUAAGAAACUGUUCGAAGCAAACUAAAUGAUUAGUUUGUUCACACCACCGUUUGCUGGGGACGCGUCAGUCGAGCUCUCGCUUCUGGAUUAUUGUUGUCAUCAUGAAAGUUUGACUGGCGGAGAAAACAGGCAGACAGAAACAUUAAGCAACAGUGAAUUUCGGGAAAAAUAAAGAACUGAAAUUAAGAAAACUGAACUAAAUGAAGAAAAUCAUGUUGGACUGAAGCCAUCCCGAUUCCAGUAGCAGUCCCGUAGCUCUUUCUCGCUAACGAAGAAGGGGACGCUGUACAUUUUCAAUAAGGAAUACCUAAAAAUCUGGAUAAACCCGAAGAUAUGAGCCCGAGGAUGUUUGACUACAUGACAGUGGCAUUGCUCAAGAACCUAGCCCAAAACUUGAACGAGGAUGGACCAGAAACAAUGACAAUGUACUCUGCGAGAUUUGUGGGCAAUUUUGUAUGUCAAUAUGAUAAGAAAUUAAAUCAAUCGUGAAAACGA